UACGGAGGGGACUAGCGUUGUUCGGAAUUACUGGGCGUAAAGCGCACGUAGGCGGAUUUGUAAGUCAGGGGUGAAAUCCCGGGGCUCAACCUCGGAACUGCCUUUGAUACUGCGAAUCUCGAGUCCGGAAGAGGUGAGUGGAAUUCCUAGUGUAGAGGUGAAAAUUCGUAGAUAUUAGGAAGAACACCAGUGGCGAAGGCGGCUCACUGGUCCAUUACUGACGCUGAGGUGCGAAAGCGUGGGGAGCAAACAGG
rnacentral:rRNA from 1 species